GACGUAGGGCGCGAGCGUUGUCCGGAUUUAUUGGGCGUAAAGAGCUCGUAGGCGGCUUGUCGCGUCGUCCGUGAAAACCCACAGCUCAACUGUGGGCUUGCGGUCGAUACGGGCAGGCUAGAGUUCGGUAGGGGAGACUGGAAUUCCUGGUGUAGCGGUGAAAUGCGCAGAUAUCAGGAGGAACACCUGCGGCGAAGGCGGGUUGCUGGGCUGACACUGACGCUGACAGCGCGAAAGCUAGGGGAGCGAACGGG
rnacentral:rRNA from 1 species